AGUGAUUUUUUCUUAAUUUUCUUUAUUUUUACUUUAGUUAUUUUUGUCAUUCAUAUCUAUGUUUUUAAGUAAUUUUGGAUUAUUGCUAGGGUAAAAUAUGUGCAGAAAAAUUAGAAUGUUUGUAUAUUUGUAAUAGAAGAAAAAAAUGAAAUCUACAAGGUUUAAUUCUGAGGUAAUUUCUCAUUCCUAAUCAGGUGCCAUCAACAACUCACCUGUGACAAUGGACCUCAUCUUUAAGAGAAUGGACCUGAUGGAGAGGAUGUGUUGUGCUUGUUUCUUCAGUCUUCACCCUGUAGACUUUCUGAGGGAAUAACACAAAUGUAUGCAGACUAACAUCAUUCUGGUCGGCUCUGCGUCUGGAGAUGGGUUUACUGAUGAAGCUUUCAGUCUUCAUUCAAACAAAAUUUCAUUCUUGAAUUCUGUGAGUUAAAGGCAGCAAGAUAUUUUGGGUGACAACUAUGGCUAAUUUUAGUGUUUAUAAUAUUUUUUAUUUUUCUCCCAUUUAUUAUCCCUGUAGACUGAAAUCAUGGUUUUGUAUUUAAUGAGAUAUAAUUUCUCAGUCCUUUUUGAGCAGUAGUAUUUCUUUAUUAUAUAAAUAUCUGCUUAAAAAUGGGUGCACUGUAGGAGACCAUAUGAAGAUAUAAUGUCCGACUUAAAAUCAAACAUAGUUUAUCCAGAGGUUAAAGACAAAGUAAAGAGAUCAGGUAGAUGAGAAGAGAGGUGAAUCCAUCAUACUUCCUGACCAGAGUUCUUCAUACAGUGUUUAAACUCUAGGGAUUAAAAACAAAUAAAAAAUACUUUCAGAGAACAAAGUGAGGUAUCCACUUGCCUUCAGAGUAGGUAAAACAAUUCCAAGCUCUGUAGUCCACUGCCAAAGUUAGGAUAUAUUUUUGAACUCUCUAAUCUCAUGUUAUGAGGUAACAUAAUGCAACCUUCUCCACUGUAUUUUUAUGGAGUAUCACGGCCUUGUGGCUUAAAAGAUUUCAAAAACUUUUCUCAUUUUUCACUGACUGUGUAUAAUCAGGGCAUGCUAUUUUUCUGUUCAGAACUUUAAUUACACAUUUUAUGUUCCUGAUAUAGGGCUAUUGUGUAGAUAACUUCUGUUUGAAGGAAGGAACUCUAUUUUCAUGCCUGGCCACUCUUACUAAUUUGUAACUUUUUGUUGUUGUUGUUGUUUUUGUUUGUUUUGUUUUGUUUUUCCUGUUAAAUUCAAUGUUAUAACACUUCUGAGUAUUUAAAUUUCUCACAUAAAAAUGAUCAUAGCAACAACUUCCAGACUUAGUGGUCAAAAAGUAAACUGAAUCUAAGCAGUAAUGUUGUGUUUCAGUAAUAAUAUACAAUAGGACAUUAGGAUCGUUUUAUGGUUAUUACACCCACAGAUCUGCAGUAAGGUGAAAAAUGAGACAGGAGAUGAAAAGAAAAUGCUUUCAGCAGCUAUAUGAGAUUGGUUAAUGCAUAAUAAUUUUUUACUCUGGAAUGGUUUAUUCCUGAAUAUGAUCAAAUCUAUGUUAUAACAUAGCAUAAUUUGUGAAUAAAUUAACCCAAACCCAGAUACGCUCCACUUUCAUAAGACCUGUGAAAUUCUAGAACAUCAAGUUUAAGCACUGUAGAAUUCUCCUUGCUCAUGCUGCUGCCAUACCUUCCAGUUACAGCUUCCCUUGAGGCAUUUUUUCUACCAUGUAAAUACCUCUUUGUAAUAGCAACGUCUAAUACAAUUUCAUCAACUAAAUAUUAAGGACUGAUUGGAAAUCACUAUCAGCCUAAUCAAAACCCCAUUAAUUUUCUGUUGGCUACAAGACUUGGAUGAAGGAAGCUACAAGAAAUAUAAAUAAUUUACUGUGGAGACCAAGAACAUUCUGACACUGCAAAUUCAGGGCAUAUACAAGGGCUGACAGAUUCCUCUACAGCACUCACAGUAGCUGUAUUUAAAAAAAAAUAAAUAAAAAAAUGGGGUUUUAUGUUAAAUGUUAUAUUGCACCAAGAUUUAUUGCACCAAAAUUAUUGUAAAGACAUAUAUUGAUCUGAAGGAAAGAAGAAGCUGGUCUUUAGUCUGUUCUGGUGGGAUAGACCUCUAGCUCUGACCCUAAUGAUCCUGUACAUUAAAAAAAAAAAAAAAUAAUAAUGCAAAAACACAUUA